AGCAGCCGCGGUAAUUCCAGCUCCAAUAGCGUAUAUUAAAGUUGUUGCAGUUAAAAAGCUCGUAGUUGAAUUUCGGGAUCAAUACGUCGGUCGUGCUUCGGUACGUACUGGCGUCAUUGAUUUCUCCCUUCUGACGAACCAUGAUGUCAUUAACUUGGUGUCAUGGGAAAUCAGGACUGUUACUUUGAAAAAAUUAGAGUGUUUAGAGCAGGCUUACGCUUGAAUACAUUAGCAUGGAAUAAUGAAAUAGGACGUUUGAUUCUAUUUUGUUGGUUUCUAGGAUCGACGUAAUGAUUAAUAGGGAUAGUUGGGGGCAUUAGUAUUCAAUUGUCGGAGGUGAAAUUCUUGGAUUUAUUGAAGACUAACUACUGCGAAAGCAUUUGCCAAGGAUGUUUUCAUUAAUCAAGAACGAAAGUUAGGGGAUCGAAGACGAUCAGAUACCGUCGUAGUCUUAACCAUAAACUAUGCCGACUAGGGAUCGGAUGAUGUUAAUUUUUUAAUGA
rnacentral:rRNA from 1 species